rnacentral:rRNA from 1 species
GAUGAACGCUGGCGGCGUGCUUAACACAUGCAAGUCGAACGAUGAAAGCGGGAGCUUGCUCCUGCUGGAUUAGUGGCGAACGGGUGAGUAACACGUGAGUAACCUGCCCUUGACUCUGGGAUAAGCGUUGGAAACGACGUCUAAUACCGGAUACGACCUUCGGAGGCAUCUCCUGGGGGUGGAAAGAAUUUCGGUCAAGGAUGGACUCGCGGCCUAUCAGCUAGUUGGUGAGGUAAUGGCUCACCAAGGCGACGACGGGUAGCCGGCCUGAGAGGGUGACCGGCCACACUGGGACUGAGACACGGCCCAGACUCCUACGGGAGGCAGCAGUGGGGAAUAUUGCACAAUGGGCGCAAGCCUGAUGCAGCAACGCCGCGUGAGGGACGACGGCCUUCGGGUUGUAAACCUCUUUAGUAGGAAGAAGCGAAAGUGACGGUACCUGCAG